rnacentral:rRNA from 1 species
UACGUAGGGUGCGAGCGUUAAUCGGAAUUACUGGGCGUAAAGCGUGCGCAGGCGGCUUUGCAAGACAGAUGUGAAAUCCCCGGGCUUAACCUGGGAACUGCAUUUGUGACUGCAUGGCUGGAGUGCGGCAGAGGGGGAUGGAAUUCCGCGUGUAGCAGUGAAAUGCGUAGAUAUGCGGAGGAACACCGAUGGCGAAGGCAAGCCCCUGGGCCUGCACUGACGCUCAUGCACGAAAGCGUGGGGAGCAAACAGG